GACGAACGCGGGCGGCGUGCUUAAUACAUGCAAGUAGAACGCUGAAGGAGGAGCUUGCUUCUCGGGUGAGUUGCGAACGGGUGAGUAACGCGUAGGUAACCUGCCUGGUAGCGGGGGAUAACUAUGGAAACGAUAGCUAAUACCGCAUAAGAGUAGAUGUUGCAUGACAUUUGCUUAAAAGGUGCAAUUGCAUCACUACCAGAUGGACCUGCGUUGUAUUAGCUAGUUGGUGAGGUAACGGCUCACCAAGGCAACGGUACAUAGCCGACCUGAGAGGGUGAUCGGCCACACUGGGACUGAGACACGGCCCAGACUCCUACGGGAGGCAGCAGUAGGGAAUCUUCGGCAAUGGACGGAAGUCUGACCGAGCAACGCCGCGUGAGUGAAGAAGGUUUUCGGAUCGUAAAGCUCUGUUGUAAGAGAAGAACGAGUGUGAGAGUGGAAAGUUCACACUGUGACG
rnacentral:rRNA from 1 species